rnacentral:rRNA from 1 species
AACGAACGCUGGCGGCAUGCCUAACACAUGCAAGUCGAACGAUGCCUCCGGGCAUAGUGGCGCACGGGUGCGUAACGCGUGGGAAUCUGCCCUUGGGUUCGGAAUAACUCGCCGAAAGGCGAGCUAAUACCGGAUGAUGACGUAAGUCCAAAGAUUUAUCGCCCAAGGAUGAGCCCGCGUAGGAUUAGCUAGUUGGUGGGGUAAAGGCCCGCCAAGGCGACGAUCCUUAGCUGGUCUGAGAGGAUGAUCAGCCACACUGGGACUGAGGCACGGCCCAGACUCCUACGGGAGGCAGCAGUGGGGAAUAUUGGACAAUGGGCGAAAGCCUGAUCCAGCAAGGCCGCGUGAGUGAUGAAGGCCUUAGGGUUGUAAAGCUCUUUUACCCGGGAUGAUAAUGACAGUACCGGGAGAAUAAACUCCGGCUAACUCCGU